UAGCUAACUUUACCUAGCUAACUAACUAGCUAGAUAACUAGUGAACUACAUUUGUUUAUCUAAACCAAAAUCUAGUUAGCUAGCAUUCAUAAUAUGCUGGCUAGACAUUUCAAAGCAUAACAAUGUGGCGAUGUGAUUUUUAACUUUGCAAGCUAACAUUAGCUUCGUUAGGUUAUGUUAGCUAACCAUUAGCUAGCUAGCUAACUAACUAUCGUAGAGGCUAACGUGGCUAUGUGUUCUACUUAGAGUAUGAUCCCAUCAACAUCAAGCUCAGCACCAAGAACCUAAAAUCUACUAAAUCUUUCCAUAACUCCAUGAUGAGCAAAUACAUAAACUGGAGCUAGGCAAAAACAUGGCCCGUGUCUUGUUGUCAUAGUUGGUGUGUUUACAAGUAGGCUACAACUUCUACUGUAGUUUUCUCUGUAUUAUGGAGGCUUAGUUGAUUGUUCAUGCAAGGCUUGAAGUUUAAUUUGGGAAAAAAUAGGUAUUAGUAAGGAGGGGAUGGUGUGGGUGACUGACUUGUGUCUGUUGGAGGUGGGUAUUGUGUUAAGGUUAGUAUGCAUGAUCUAUUGACAUGAAUGGGAUGGGUGGAUAUAGUAUCUUGUUUGAGUGUGUAUUGAUGGGGACAAAGUAGUAAAAUGUUGCCUAAUCACUGACUUCUGUGUGUCCUACACACUAAUCCUGCUGCUGCUGAUGAUGAUGGCUUUGACACUGGCUUUAGUAGUACAGCGCCUGUAGACCCAUUGGAUGAAAGCUUUCAGCCUGAAAUAAGCUCAAGCUCAACAUCUGAAUUUGAAACAAGCCAGGACAGCCAAAGAUGAACACAUAUCAUUGUAUGGUUACACAUCCUCAUGAUCAGUCUUAAUGGCUUACCAGGAGACUUUCAGUACAAACAAAUCUUCUGCAAGAGGUCGAAGCAGUGGGGAGUGAAAAGGUGUACGAGAGGCCACAUGGCUGUGAAGUGCAGAAAAGAGCAGACUGUUGUCUACAAGGAGCCAGAGUCACAGCUCCACUAAACAUCUCUGCCAACAUCACCACAGCGCCAAAGCCUGCUAAACCAGCUAUUAUUUCCAACACAAGAAGAGGUUCACCAGCUGAAAAACAUACAGGAACCUACCUGGAACAUUCAACCAACAUAACAUCCAUAUUUUGUAAUAUAAUAUGUAAAUGCCUAGUAUGAUUACAACUGCAUUGUGGUAUAUAUGUUGCUAGCUGUUGUACAUACAGUUGAAGUGGGAUGUUUACAUACACUUAGGUUGGAGUCAUUCAAAUUUGAUUUUCAACCACAAAACAAAUUUCUUGUUAAUAAACUAUAGUUUUGCCAAGUCGGUUAGGACAUCUAAUUUGUGCAUGUAAUUUUUCCAAAAAUGGUUUACAGACAAAUUAUUUAACUUAUAAUUCACUGUAUCACAUUUCCAGUGGGUCAGAAGUUUAAACACACUAAGUUGACUGUGCCUUUAAACAGCUUGGAAAAUUCCAGAAAAUCAUGGCUUUAGAAGCUUCUGAUAGGCUAAUUGACAUAAUUUGAGUCAAUUGGAGGUGUACCUGUGGAUGUAUUUCAAGGCCUACCUUCAAACUCAGUGCCUCUUUGCUUGACAUGGGAAAAUCAAAAGAAAUCAGCCAAGACCUCAGAAAAAAAAUUGUAGACCUCCACAAGUCUGGUUCAUCAUUGGGAACAAUUUCCAAACGCCUGAAGGUACCACGUUCAUCUGUACAAACAAUAGUACGCAAGUAUAAACACCAUGGGACCACACAGCCGUCAUACCGCUCAGGAAGGAGACGUGUUCUGUCUCCUAGAGAUGAAAGUACUUUGGUGCAAAAAGUGCAAAUCAAUCCCAGAACAACAGCAAAGGACCUUGUGAAGAUGCUGGAGGAAACCGGUACAAAAGUAUCUAUAUCCACAGUAAGACAAGUCCUAUAUCGACAUAACCUGAAAGGCCGCUCAGCAAGAAAGAAGCCGCUGCUCCAAAACUGCCAUAAAAAAGCCAAACUACGGUUUGCAAAUGCACAUGGAGAAAUGUCCUCUGGUCUGAUGAAACAAAAAUAAAACUGUUUGGCCAUAAUGACCAUCGUUAUGUUUGGAAGAAAAAGGGGAGCGCUUGCAAGCCGAAGAACAUCAUCCCAAACGUGAAGCGGAUGGUGGCAGCAUCAUGUUGUGAGGGUGCUUUGCUGCAGGAGGGACUGGUGCACUUCACAAAAUAGAUGGCAUCAUGACGAAGGAAAAUUAUGUGGGGUAUAUUGAAGCAACAUCUCAAGACAUCAGUCAAAGUUAAAGCUUGGUCGCAAAUGGGUCUUCCAUAUGGACAAUGACCCCAAGCAUACUUCUAAAGUUGUGGCAAAAUGGCUUAAGGACAACAAAGUCAAGGUAUUGGAGUGGCCAUCACAAAGCCCUGACCUUAAUCCUAUAGAAAAUUUGUGGGCAGAACUGAAAAGGCAUGGAGGCCUACAAACCUGACUCAGUUACACCAGCUCUGUCAGGAGGAAUGGGCCAAAAUUCACCCAAUUUAUUGUGGGAAGCUUGUGGAAGGCUACACGAAAUGCUUGACCCAAAUUAAACAAUUUAAAGGCAAUGCUACCAAAUACUAAUUGAGUGUAUGUAAACUUCUGACCCACUGGGAAUGUGAUGAAAGAAAUAAAAGCUGAAAUAGUUCAUUCUCUCUACUAUUAUUCUGACAUUUCACAUUCUUAAACUCAAGUGGUGAUACAAACUGACCUAAGACAGGGCAUUUUUACUUGGAUUAAAUGUCAGGAAUUGUGAUACACUGAGUUUAAAUGUAUUUGGCUAAGGUGUAUGUAAACUUCCAACUUUAACUGUAUGGACAGUGCCUUCGGAGGGUAUUCAGACCCCUUGACUUUUUCCACAUUUUGUUAUGUUGCAGCCUUAUUCUAAAAUGGAUUGAAAGAAAACAUUCUCCUCAGCAAUCUACACACAAUACCCCAUAAUGACAAAGUGAAAACAGGUUUUUGGAGAUUUAAGAAAAUGUAUUAAAAAUAAAAAGACCCCUUAUUUAUGUAAGUAUUCAGACUCUUUGCUAUGAGACUGUUUCCAUUGAUCAUCCUUGAGAUGUUUCGUCAACUUGAUUGGAGUCCACCUGUGGUAAAUUCAAUCGAUUGGACAUGAUUUGGAAAGGCACACACCUGUCUAUAUAAGGUCCGUAGAACUCAGAGACAGGAUUGUGUCGUGGCACAGAUCUGGGGAAGGGUACCAAACAUUUCUGCAACAUUGAAGGUCCCCAAGAACACAGUGGCUUCCAUAAUUCUUAAAUGGAAGGAGUUUGGAACUACCAAGACUUUUCCUAGAACUGAGCAAUCGGGGGAGAAGGGCCUUGGUCAGGAGGUGAACAACAAUCCGAUGGUUACUCUGACAGAGCUCCAGAGUUCCUCUGUGGAGAUGGGAGAACCUUCCAGAAGGAUAACCAUCUCUGCAGCACUCCACCAAUUAAGCCUUUAUGGUAGAGUGGCUAGAUGGAAGCCACUCCUCAGUAAAAGGCACAUGACAGCCCGCUAGGAGUUUUCCAAAAAGCACCUAAAGGACUCUCCGACCUUGACUUGAACCCGAUCCAACAUCUCUGGAGAGACCUGAAAAUAGCUGUGCCGCGACGCUCCCUAUCCAACCUGACAGAGCUUGAGAGGAUCUGCAGAGAAGAAUGGGAGAAACUCCCCAAAUACAGGUGUGCCAAGCUUGUAGCGUCAUACCCAAGAAUACUCAAGGCUGUAAACGCUGCCAAAGGUGCUUCAGAGAAGUACAGAGUAAAGUGUCUGAAUAAUUGUGUGAAUGUGAUAUUUCAGUUCUUUAUUUUUUUUAAUACAUUUGCAAAAAUGUCUAAAUGUGUUUUUGCUUGGUCACUAUGGGGUAUUGUGUGUAGAUUGAGGGGGGGGGGAAACAAUGUAAUCAAUUUUAGAAUAAGGCUGUAACGUAACAUGGGGAAAGUCAAGGGGUCUGAAUACUUUCCAAGUACAUUGUAUAUAGUGGUGUUUUAUUUAUUUUUUUACAAAUGUAUUGACAAAUGACGACAGCUGUAUCAGAAACCAAUAAAGUGUCGAUGACAACUUCUGGAUCAA